rnacentral:rRNA from 1 species
CCUAGUAACUGCGAGUGAAGCGGGAUGAGCUCAAAUUUAAAAUCUGGCGUCUUCGGCGUCCGAGUUGUAAUUUAGAGAAGCGUUUUCCGCGCCGGACCGUGUACAAGUCUCCUGGAACGGAGCGUCAUAGAGGGUGAGAAUCCCGUCUUUGACACGGACCCCCGGUGCUCUGUGAUACGCUCUCGAAGAGUCGAGUUGUUUGGGAAUGCAGCUCAAAAUGGGUGGUGAACUCCAUCUAAAGCUAAAUAUUGGCGAGAGACCGAUAGCGAACAAGUACCGUGAGGGAAAGAUGAAAAGCACUUUGGAAAGAGAGUGAAACAGUACGUGAAAUUGUUGAAAGGGAAACGCUUGAAGUCAGUCGCGUCCGCCGGGACUCAGCCGCAAGGUGUACUUUCCGGUGGACGGGCCAGCAUCACUUUCGAUCAUCGGAGAAAGGCGAGGGGAAUGUGGCACCUUCGGGUGUGUUAUAGCCCCUUGUCAUAUACGGUGAACGGGAGUGAGGACCGCCUUUGUAGGAUGCUGGCGUAAUGGCUUUAAACGACCCGUCUUGAAACACGGACCAAGGAGUCUAACAUGCCCGCGAGUGUUCGGGUGGAAAACCCGUGCGCGUAAUGAAAGUGAAAGUUGGGAAGGCUGUCGCGGCCUGCACCGACGCCCGGACUCGAGAUUUAUCAAAGGUUCUGCGGUAGAGCGUGUAUGUUGGGACCCGAAAGAUGGUGAACUAUGCCUGAAUAGGGUGAAGCCAGAGGAAACUCUGGUGGAGGCUCGUAGCGAUUCUGACGUGCAAAUCGAUCGUCGAAUUUGGGUAUAGGGCGAAAGACU